UUCUAGUUUCCACUUUGUGAUGCCAGAGUCACAAUUCUAGUCAAUCUUAGGGUAUCAUUUUAGUAAGUAGUAACUUCCAUCAAACUUUGCAAAUUGGGAUUACGUAUGUUAAGCAUAUUUUAAUUUCAGUUGCUAAGAGAAACUAACAGAUUAUCACUGUAUAAUGUGUCUGCUGUUACUUCUGCUUAUUGAAGAAAUCACUGAACUGCCACUGAAGAGUGGGAGGCGCCUAAGAAAGGCUGAGUUCUGGAAUGCUGCCAACACAUGAGAAGCAUGAAUUUCUCCUAAGAUGUUUAGGGUUUUCAUUUGAAAGGAGUCAUCUCAUUCAGUAGUAUCCUUCUCUUUAAAUUGACAUGGUUCUAUAUUUGGCAUUUCAUUGGAAAUGACAUCACAACCAAGUCCCUUAUUCGAGUAGGCAAGAUAAGGAGGAUAGGAUAAAUAUUUGAAGUAUAGUUUAUCUGCCCAUCCUGGAAGGGGAAGAACAAUAGCUUAUCCAUGUUCAGGAAGCUAACGUGACCUAAAAAUCCUAGCGUUGCAUGGGAGCUAAUGAGGCUGUUUACCCUGUUCCCUCGUCUUUGGGGAGUAUUACAGUAAACUUAAGUCAGCCUUGCAGAAAGUCAAGUAGAAAAAAACACCUGCUUGUAUUUGUGUAACUUUCUGAAGGAAGACCAAGAUAAUCAUCUACAUGGCCAAGAGCCUUCUUUGGUUCCCUUGCACCUUGCUGUUACAAGUUGUAGGAUACCCUUGGGUGUUUUUGCUGUGGUUCAGUGUUACAGGCAGAAGGUACAGUACUGAAGUCAUUUUAAUAAUUUGUGUUAAUAAAGCCCUUCUGUCAAAACUUACCGCAAUGAGUGAGGCGAUAGAGAAGCUGCAUUUUAACCACUUGUGAGAUUAACCAUGUGAAGAUAAGGAUCUAGCCUAUUUUAAAAUGCUAUCUUGCAAACUUUACAGGAAGUAUAUUCUUGUUUAACAGUCCUGUCAGGAGAUGAUUCCUUGUGUCUAAUGUCUGUACCCUGCUGUGUGAUGUAAGCAUUCCACUUGCUUGUUGUUCAGUGAACAUGUUUCCUAGCUCUUUAUAACCUUAACUUUCUCAUUUCAAAGUGAAUCAUUUCAUAUUUUUAACAUUUCUUCAGUAUUAAUUCCCCACACAUAUGCCUGCUAGAUCUUCUUUCCCAGUCUUCUGUUUUCUGUCAGCCUUCCCUGAACUGUUCACAGCCACCCGGAGUUAUAAAGCCAAGAAUUAAACAAAGCAUUCUGUGGACAGGAGAGCCAAUGCUGGAGAUGAAGGUAUAUUCCUGAAUGGCACACGAGGAACUCCAGUGAACAACCAUAACCGGUGGAGCAAGUGUGACAGUGUCACAUAAACCCAUGUGAGGAAGAAACCACAGCACAUGCUUCCACUGAGAGAUAACUGCUGCUUGCAACAUGGAGACAAGGAUGUCCUGUUGGAACUAAAUAUGGAAAGUUCCCAGAAGACUGUCCAUCACUCUGAUCAAGCAUUAGAAUUCCCUCUACAGUCACGAGAAGGAAAGGUAUCCAUUGUCAUGGCUGCUUUGAUGAUAUUCUCCUACAAGAAAAACUUUUUCACUUUAUCCGCCACCCCCCGACGUUUUCUUUAAACAACAGCAGCAGAUGUUGGAGAUGGCGUCAGAGGCUGCUGGAGACCAGCUUUCCUACAAGAGGGUCCCACGUAGGAGUUGUCCUACUUCUUCUCAACGUCUCCAAAUCAGGGUCUGAGAGUCCGUUCUGACGACUUGGACUCGGGCCUGUGCUGGUGUAGUUUAAGGUCCGGAGCAUCCCUCGAAAAAGUUUUUAUGUUCCUGACAGAUCAUCAGUAAAAUCACCAUGUCCUCAUUUGGAGUUUCCAGCUCUCUGUUUGAACUGAACUCUGUCCAGCUAAAAAGGGAAAGAAAAUACUCCAUGUGCUCUUUACUGCAGGAUCCAGCCAGAUAUGAGCCUACUUUAAUUGAAAGUGGCACCAAAAUCCAGAUCAUUGCUCUGACUGGAGACUCCAAAUAGCUCCCCAAGGCCAUGAACCUUGUGUAGACUUGGGGUUUGGAAGAGGCCCCUUUGGAUCUCACAAAUGCACCUCAGUCCACCUCCGGAGCCUGAAAAUGUUUAUCAGAAUGAUAUGAAGUUCAAAUUAACAUCAGAUGACUAGCCAAGGCAUCCCCAUUUAUGUUAUAAAAUCACGUUUUCCAAGCUGGAAAGGACCUUGAAGAUCUUUGAGUCCAAUCUCUUCAUCCUACAAAUGAGGAAAGGUGGGGAGAGCAAGCAGCAAGUUGAAGAGGGUCAUCAAAGGACAUGCUGCUUGUUGGUAACAGAGACAGGGCCAGAACCCAACCAGGUCUCCUAUCUCCCUGUGAACAUAAUUCUUUCCACUACAGCCCGUCCGACUUUCCAGAAAACCAAAACAUUGACAAGACCCUGCCGAUGGCCCACCAACUUCAGUCAAUAUUUGCUACAACAAAAUUCCAGCAGAACCUAGAGAUUUUGAAAUCUGCACUCAUGUGACUUGAUGUGUUCAACUGGAAAAAGACAAUUUUUGACUUUUCUCUAUGUGACAAUUCUACCUGUUGAUUUAGGUCACCCACAGUGAGUGUUUUGUACUUCCUUACCAAAUUCACACUCCAUAAAUGUUCCAUAAACA